rnacentral:rRNA from 1 species
UACGGAGGGGGCAAGCGUUAUUCGGAAUCAUUGGGCGUAAAGGGCGCGUAGGCGGCUUGGCAAGUCAAAGGUGAAAUCCCUCGGCCCAACCGAGGAACUGCCUUUGAUACUGCCUGGCUCGAGGCCGGGAGAGGGUAGCGGAAUUCCCAGUGUGGCGGUGAAAUGCGUAGAUAUUGGGAGGAACACCAGUGGCGAAGGCGGCUACCUGGACCGGUUCUGACGCUGAUGCGCGAAAGCGUGGGGAGCAAACAGG